AUACGUAGGGGGCGAGCGUUGUCCGGAAUGAUUGGGCGUAAAGGGCGCGUAGGCGGCGCGGUAAGUCUGGAGUGAAAGUCCUGCUUUCAAGGUGGGAAUUGCUUUGGAUACUGCCGCGCUUGAGUGCAGGAGAGGUUAUCGGAAUUCCCGGUGUCGCGGCGAAAUGCGUAGAGAUCGGGAGGAACACCAGUGGCGAAGGCGGGUAACUGGACUGCAACUGACGCUGAGGCGCGAAAGUGUGGGGAGCAAACAGGAUUAGAUACCCUGGUAGUCCACACUGUAAACGAUGAAUGCUAGGUGUAAGAGGUAUCGACCCCUUUUGUGCCGGAGUCAACACAAUAAGCAUUCCGCCUGGGGAGUACGGCCGCAAGGUUGAAACUCAAAUGAAUUGGCGGGG
rnacentral:rRNA from 1 species